rnacentral:rRNA from 1 species
UACGUAGGGUGCGAGCGUUAAUCGGAAUUACUGGGCGUAAAGCGUGCGCAGGCGGUUCGCCAAGUCAGGUGUGAAAUCCCCAGGCUUAACCUGGGAACUGCGUCGGAUACUGGAUGGCUUGAAUCCGGGAGAGGGAUGCGGAAUUCCAGGUGUAGCGGUGAAAUGCGUAGAUAUCUGGAGGAACACCGGUGGCGAAGGCGGCAUCCUGGACCGGCAUUGGACGCGUGAGGCGCGAAAGCCAGGG